UAAAGUUGUUGCGGUUAAAAAGCUCGUAGUCGGAGGUGUGUCUCGGACGGUCGGUUCGCCGCUUGUCGGUGCUCAACUGGCCGGUCCGGACGUCCUGCCGGUGGGGUCGCGAGGCCCCGUUAUCCUUCUUUGGUCCUCUUCACCGAGUGCCUUGGUGGGCCGGCACGUUUACUUUGAACAAAUUAGAGUGCUCAAAGCAGGCCGUUGGUCGCCUGAAUACUGUGUGCAUGGAAUAAUGGAAUAGGACCUCGGUUCCAUUUUGUUGGUUUUCAGAACUCGAGGUAAUGAUUAAUAGGGACGGACGGGGGCAUUCGUAUUGCGACGUUAGAGGUGAAAUUCUUGGAUCGUCGCAAGACGAACCGAUGCGAAAGCAUUUGCCAAGAACGUUUUCGUUGAUCAAGAACGAAAGUUAGAGGUUCGAAGGCGAUCAGAUACCGCCCUAGUUCUAACCAUAAACGAUGCCAGCUAGCCAUCCGCCGAAGUUCCUUCUAUGACUCGGCGGGCAGCUUCCGGGAAACCAAAGCUCUUGGGUUCCGGGGGAAGUAUGGUUGCAAAGCUCAAACUUAAAGGAAUUGACGGAA
rnacentral:rRNA from 1 species